rnacentral:rRNA from 1 species
ACGAACGCUGGCGGCGUGCCUAAUACAUGCAAGUCGAGCGAAGUUUUUCUGGUGCUUGCACUAGAAAAACUUAGCGGCGAACGGGUGAGUAACACGUAAAGAACCUGCCUCAUAGACUGGGACAACUAUUGGAAACGAUAGCUAAUACCGGAUAACAGCAUUAACUGCAUGGUUGAUGUUUAAAAGUUGGUUUUGCUAACACUAUGAGAUGGCUUUGCGGUGCAUUAGCUAGUUGGUGGGGUAAAGGCCUACCAAGGCGACGAUGCAUAGCCGACCUGAGAGGGUGAUCGGCCACACUGGGACUGAGACACGGCCCAGACUCCUACGGGAGGCAGCAGUAGGGAAUCUUCCGCAAUGGGCGAAAGCCUGACGGAGCAACGCCGCGUGAGUGAAGAAGGAUUUCGGUUCGUAAAGCUCUGUUGUUAGGGAAGAAUGAUUGUGUAGUAACUAUACACAGUAGAGACGGUACCUAACCAGAAAGCCACGGCUAACUACGU